CAGCCAUAUUACCUUAAGACACCAGGUCUCAUAAAAUUACCGAAGUUAAGCAACGUCGAGCCUGGCCAGUACCUAGACGUGUGACCGCUUGGGAACAGCAGAUGCUGUAAG